UCUUAAGAAUUUAUAAACUUGAAACACUAAAGUUUGAAAGGAAAAUAACAAUUGCUAGAUGUUCAUUUCUUUGAUGUUUUCACGAUUUUGUUUGGAUGUCCAUUUAUAUACACUCUAGAAUGUUGAAACCGAAAGUACAAAUUCAUUUUCAUUUAUGAAUUAGAUACUUCUGUUUUAUAUAAUGAAAAAUGACAAACUCUCUUGAUAAAUUAGAGAAUAAUAAUAUAUUAUUAUGGCAAUAUAAGAAUAUAGAAAUUGUUACUAUAAUGAAGAAAAAAGAAAAGUAUUAGUUAGGAAAGAGAGAAAGAAAGAAAAAAAAAAAAAAAAGCUUUUGGUAUACCUUUGUGCCAAUGACAUCAACCACACUAAGCAAUGUGGGAAGACCUAAUGGGAAAUUUUAUAUAAAUUGUGACUCUUCUAAAUGAAGCAAAGAUUUUGACAUCUCAACCAUUUUUGAUUUCUUGAUAUUAUCUUCUUGAUUUUCCCACUUUCUUCUGCCUACUAUAUAUCAACUAUUAGAUCAACCACCAAAACAAUUGAGAGCCCUUCUCUACCCUUCUAUUGGUUUUUGUCAACUUCUCUUCAAAAACGAAAAGAAAAAGAAAAAGAAAAAGAAAGGAACCUCAUGGUCCAUCGUUUUGAAUGCCCAUAACAAGAUUCAAAGACAUGAUGAUGAGUGGUGAAUAUGUGGUUUGAUUCUUUAUCGAUUUCUCUUCAUCUUGUCAUGCGUUGAGCCAAAACAAAGCUAGCCAUUUAGCAACUAGAUAUUUUCUUCAUCAAAGCUGUUGCAGAGCCUUGUUAUGAUAUCUAUGUACAAAAACACUGCCUCAAUCUCCCAUGUGCAGAAAGCAAAGCAUUAGACAAAAUUAAAUUGUCAGUUCUAGAAAAGAACUCAAAGCUUCCAUGGAUCGACUGCAUUAGCUAAAGCCAAAGAUUGUGCUGGGAGAGAGAGGAGGAUGUUUUAACAAUUCUAGAAGCGCCAUGAACUAGCUUGCCUCUAUGAUCUCUGCAGAUAACAGCGAUUCCAGCUUCACUUCAGGUGUAGAGUUGAAAGCAACAUCAGAAUUGAAUUUAAGAGACUCAAAGACUGAGAGGGUACCGGUUGAACGUAAUAAGUAGCUAGCAUUAGAACUAACUAAAAGCAGAUCCCCUUAGACUACAACUGAGCUGUAAGAGACUCUUGAAAGAAAAUUCCAAACUCUGUAGAAAAAGAAAAGAAAUGGGAUCAGGUUUAAUACCUUCAUAAGAUAGCGCUUUUAUGAAGCUCAUUAUAGGUGCACCAAAGAAGGCCCUCGUCAGUCUCUAUUUCUUCUCUCUAUUCAAAUAAGGCAUCUCCAAUAGAUUUUUCCUUUAUUUUGUUCUACUAAAACAUAUUAGUUUUUAUGUCCAUUAUACAUUUCUUUCCUUAAAAGAAGAAAUAAGUUUUUUGUGCAAUUA